CGUACGAAACCUGGAGUUAGCAAACGCUUCCGACUUAUCUAAGAGUGCAACCCUCGCUUCCUUGUUCAGAGGCCCAGCUCUCAAGUGGUUGAAACCGCAAAUCGAAACCACAACCAAAGUGCUAGAGGACUACGACGGUUUCCUAGCCAGCGUCCGCAAGGAAUUUGGAUUGACCAAGGACGCUUCGAAAUCACAAGCCGCCAGACGACUAUUCCAGAUCAGGCAAAGAGGAUCGGCGCAGACUUUUGCCACCGAAGCCAGGAUUGUAUACGAG
rnacentral:misc_RNA from 1 species